rnacentral:rRNA from 1 species
AUUGAACGCUGGCGGCAUGCCUUACACAUGCAAGUCGAACGGCAGCACGGGUGCUUGCCCCUGGUGGCGAGUGGCGAACGGGUGAGUAAUACAUCGGAACAUGUCCUGUAGUGGGGGAUAGCCCGGCGAAAGCCGGAUUAAUACCGCAUACGAUCCACGGAUGAAAGCGGGGGACCUUCGGGCCUCGCGCUAUAGGGUUGGCCGAUGGCUGAUUAGCUAGUUGGUGGGGUAAAGGCCUACCAAGGCGACGAUCAGUAGCUGGUCUGAGAGGACGACCAGCCACACUGGGACUGAGACACGGCCCAGACUCCUACGGGAGGCAGCAGUGGGGAAUUUUGGACAAUGGGCGAAAGCCUGAUCCAGCAAUGCCGCGUGUGUGAAGAAGGCCUUCGGGUUGUAAAGCACUUUUGUCCGGAAAGAAAUCCUUGACUCUAAUACAGUCGGGGGAUGACGGUACCGGAAGAAUAAGCACCGGCUAACUACGU